rnacentral:rRNA from 1 species
AACGAACGCUGGCGGCAUGCCUAACACAUGCAAGUCGAACGAGAUCUUCGGGUCUAGUGGCGCACGGGUGCGUAACGCGUGGGAAUCUGCCCUUCGGUUGGGAAUAACUGAGAGAAAUUUCAGCUAAUACCUUAUAAUGUCUUCGGACCAAAGAUUUAUCGCCGAGGGAUGAGCCCGCGUAGGAUUAGGUAGUUGGUGGGGUAAUGGCCUACCAAGCCGACGAUCCUUAGCUGGUCUGAGAGGAUGAUCAGCCACACUGGGACUGAGACACGGCCGAGAAUCCUACGGGAGGGAGGAGUGGGGAAUAUUGGAACAUGGGCGAAAGGCUGAUCCAGCAAUGCCGCGUGAGUGAUGAAGGCCUUAGGGUUGUAAAGCUCUUUUACCCGGGAUGAUAAUGACAGUACCGGGAGAAUAAGCUCCGGCUAACUCCGUG